CCGUGUAUAAAUCGUCGCGGAGUUCGCCGGUAACGCGGCUGAAAUCGAUCGGUCGCGUAUCGGCGUCCAUCUUGCCGGGCUGACGCGAAACUUUCCAACUUCUGCCGAGAUGUUUUAUCGUUCCACCACCGGCGCGGCGUGCGGCGCUCCUGAAAACGCUUCAUAUAAAUUAAAGCCUAGCUACGUCGACCGACUCGACGAGAAAGUACUCGGGAACAAUUGGAUCGCGGCGAUUCCGAAGUGGACCUCACAGCAAGACGAAAAUGUAUUCCGUGGCGAGAGAUCGGAUUGCUGCGGACGCUGCAUCGAUUCACGACCGUCGGACGGGUCGGAUGGAGGCUACUGAGCGAAAAUUUCAGACUUGAAAGAUUCUGGUCUUCGGCAAUAUUUGAAGGAAGAGUCUCUCGGGAUACGUUAACGAACAGUGUUUCCGGUUGCUAAUUUUCGGGACACCCCGUACAGGGCGAAGAAUGCGCGGAUGAGUUUUCCGAUCCGGGGGCGAGAAUUCCAUCGAGCGAGCGCAGAUCGAUAGUACAGGGUGCGGAAGAAGACGCUGCGGAACGAUGACGAGACGAAAUUUGGAAAUGCGUCGUUGGCGGCUGUGCUUUGAGGACGCAAAGAUCGUUCUAAGUAGGUGUCGCGCAGUGGUCUAUUUUCGCAGAAAGCUGGCCAAAAUUCAUAAUUACAUAUGCGAAAUUUUACAAAAAUCAGAGCACCCUUUUGACUCUAAAAACGCAAGAUUUCAAUGAAAGAUCAGAAAAAAUCGGUCUCUACCAACAUAUGAGCACGUUGAAAUCAUAGUUAUGUAAACAUUUUUGUGUCAUGUCCGAAAAUAUCAUCUGUACACGACAAAAUGUUCAAACGACGAGUGAAAGAAAUUAGGAAAUUACUAUAAACUAAGAUAACUCGAAAUUAUCUUAACAAUAAAUUUGGUCAGUGAACAA